rnacentral:rRNA from 1 species
GAUGAACGCUAGCGACAGGCCUAACACAUGCAAGUCGAGGGGCAGCACGGUGUAGCAAUACACUGGUGGCGACCGGCGCACGGGUGAGUAACGCGUAUGCAACCUGCCCUGUACAGGGGGAUAGCCCGGAGAAAUUCGGAUUAAUACCCCAUAAAGAUAUCGAGAGGCAUCUUUUGAUAUUUAAAGCUUCGGCGGUACGGGAUGGGCAUGCGUGACAUUAGCUAGUUGGUAGGGUAACGGCCUACCAAGGCUUCGAUGUCUAGGGGUCCUGAGAGGGUGAUCCCCCACACUGGUACUGAGACACGGACCAGACUCCUACGGGAGGCAGCAGUGAGGAAUAUUGGUCAAUGGGCGACAGCCUGAACCAGCCAUCCCGCGUGAAGGAAGAAGGCGCUAUGCGUUGUAAACUUCUUUUCCAGAGGAAUAAAAUUUCGUACGUGUACGGAACUGAAGGUACCCUGGGAAUAAGCAUCGGCUAACUCCGUGCCAGCCGCCGCAGUAACAC